rnacentral:rRNA from 1 species
UACAGAGGUCUCAAGCGUUGUUCGGAUUCAUUGGGCGUAAAGGGUGCGUAGGCGGCGGGGCAAGUCAGGUGUGAAAUCCCGGGGCUCAACCCUGGAACUGCACUUGAUACUGCUUUGCUAGAGUACUGGAGAGGAGAUUGGAAUUUACGGUGUAGCAGUGAAAUGCGUAGAUAUUGUAAGGAAGACCAGCGGCGAAGGCGAAUCUCUGGACAGUUACUGACGCUGAGGCACGAAGGCCAGGGGAGCAAACGGG